rnacentral:rRNA from 1 species
UACGUAGGGUGCAAGCGUUAAUCGGAAUUACUGGGCGUAAAGCGUGCGCAGGCGGUUCUAUAAGACAGAUGUGAAUCCCGGCUCAACCUGGGAACUGCAUUUGUGACUGUAGAGCUGGAGUGCGGCAGAGGGGAUGGAAUUCCGGCGUGUAGCAGUGAAAUGCGUAGAUAUGCGGAGGAACACCGAUGGCGAAGGCAAUCC